GAAGAAGGCCCGCCAGAUGCAGUACGAGGUGCGCUAUGUGGCCAUCUCGACAUACUACCACGACUAUCUUAGUAUGAAGAUGACCAAGGAAGAAGCGCGGAGGAUGGGCAUUACCUUGGAGAGGGACGAGUUCUUGGCGGUGUGUCCAAAUUGGUGUUAUGGAAAAGACGAGUCCUGGGCGGCAUUGGUGGAUCUUUGGUGUGAUGAGGCUGGAGCCUGGGCGGCUAUGAGAAU